UACGUAGGGGGCAAGCGUUGUCCGGAAUUAUUGGGCGUAAAGCGCGCGCAGGCGGCCAUGUGAGUCUGGUGUUUAAGCCCAAGGCUCAACCUUGGGACGCACUGGAAACUGUGUGGCUGGAGUGCAGGAGAGGAAAGUGGAAUUCCACGUGUAGCGGUGAAAUGCGUAGAGAUGUGGAGGAACACCAGUGGCGAGGGCGACUUUCUGGCCUGUAACCGACGCUGAGGCGCGAAAGCGUGGGGAGCAAACAGG
rnacentral:rRNA from 1 species